rnacentral:lncRNA from 1 species
GAAAAUUGAAAUGCAAACAGACAUUCGCCAGUUUUCAAUAAAAAGAAAGGGGAGAAAUUUCAGAAAUAAAUGGACGAAACUGCUUCAACUCCUAUAAACACCUACGGGUAGUAGCUACAGAGACAGCUAUAAUUACUGCGAGAAAAAUCGGGAUCAGAAUUUACUGCGAAAAAUUAUACAUCUGUCUUACUACAGGAAGAAAUUGAAUGCAUGCAUGGAAGUAACUAUGCAAUCAAUCAAUCAAGAUAUAGAGUUCAAAAAUUAAUCUUCACCUUCAAAAAGAUACAUAAUGGAUACAGUCAGUGUCAUACAGACCGAGCAAGGAAACAACCCAUCUUCCAUAAUUGCUUGUUAUUACUGUGAAUACCUGUUACUUUGCUGGUCAGUCUUCAUUUUUUUCUCCUCUUUUACAUCUCAACUCUGAAAAUACAGAGCUAGUAAAUACAGCAAGUCUUUUCCAAAAAGAGGAAGAUGCCCAUUUUAAUUGCAUGGUCUUUGCCUAAAAUCAUCAUCAUAUGUCAUAAUGACUACUGAUGUACUGCUGUAAACGUCAUUUCUCCCUUUCUUGUCAAAUAUCAACGUCACCCACAAGCUUAUAAAUCCAAUCAAUCUAGACACCAGAACCAGAACAUAAUCCAGAAGAAGAAGAAGAAACAGAAAAUGGGUGUGAGGCGCAUGGUGGUAAUGAAGAAGAGGGUGAUGGUUGUGAUGGAUGAAAUAUGUAGUAGUAGAGCAAGACAUACCAUGAUGUGGGCUUUGACUCACGUUGUCAAUAAAGGAGAUAUACUAACACUUGUCAAUGUUGUCUCUCCAUACGACAAUGGUGACUCUUCCUUUGUUCCUGAACUCCUCAACUCACUUGGUUCUCUCUGCAAGGCUUCCAGACCUGAG